CUUUGUCUACUGACCUAAAAUUCAUUUUCCUCUAAAGCUCAUACAAAUAAACCUCAUUCAUGGGAACAUUAGUUAAAGGGGUUACAAAUAUGGAAGCAAGAAAUUCAGCUUCCGAUUCAAUUAAUAUUUCCCCCUCCCCCCAACACACACACACACACCAUUUGGCCAGCUAGACACACUGCAAAUUCAAAGGAGCAAGAGCAGGAUCAUCCCUUCUAAAAAACCUGUGGGAGUUGGUUAAGAUGGCAGAAAUCACCACAAAAGUUCCUUUUAUGGAGUUUCUUAGUCACUGUUCCAUCAGGGCUUGCAGCCCCAUCCUGGAGAGUAAAUCUGGUGGUUCCCCAGCAAUCCAUGGAUCUUGAGCGAUCUGCUGAAGAACUUGCUUAUUGGAUUUCACAACUCCCUCUUUUCCUAUAAUCUCCUCCUGGCUGCCUCAGAUCUCCACUCUGAAUCAGCUGCUCUUGGUCUAUUGCUACUGUCAUGUGAACAACCC